GUGACUUCCAAAAUGGCCACCGCACUGAUCUUUGUAGGCCUGAACAGGCCUGAAAAUCAGACUUGGACAUGCUGCAGCGGUGAUCUAAGGGGAGGAGGGGGAACCCUUGCAGACCCCACACACCACACCACCCCUGCAGCCUUUAGGAAGCCCCCUGAAGGGGCUACAGGGGGAAAAAUGAGAGUCACACUUGCUGCAGCCGGUGAUGGGGAGAAGAAACUGAGGAAGGAGGAAGGCAGGCAGCCCCCUCCAGGUUCCAGCGGGUCCUCAGCAAACUGUCCUUCAUGGCUUCCCCUGCCUGGGUGGGAACUGUGAGAGUUGCCCUGCCGCCGCCCCCACCACAUGAAGACUGAGGGCACAGACAUCGUCUCAGGGAUCAGCAGCAGCAGACCCUUCUGGUGGCUCCUGGUUUUCUGCAGCUGUCUAGUCAUGCUAACUCCAGGUGUUGACCCUGCUAGGGCCCUGUUCGAUGCCAGCCCUGCCUGGGACUUUAGUAGUCACCCAAUGAGAUGCCGACUCCUGAUUCUGCUGCCCACAUAUUCCCAAUAUUAAGUUCACAGCCAUGAGGUCUAGAAACUUGUUUUUUUUAAAAAGAAAAUAUUGAAAGUGAUGAUUCCCAUAAUACUCAAUAGCAUACCAGAAGCCAAACUGGCUUAUGCAGUGUGAUCACAGAUGUGCAGAAUAUUGCAGGCCUGGGCAUGCAACAUGAAAUAGCCAGGCCAGGUCUCUGCUUCUGUUUACCUUUCUUAUGCUUGGUGCUUUUUGGUAUUUUGUGGUUUUUACUGUUUAACUGAUUUUAAAGUUUUAAAUGUGAUUUUUAUGGCGUUUUAUUGUAUUUAAACUUUCGUAAACCGCCUUGGGCUGCCUUAUGAAAGGCGGUAUAAAAAUUGAACAAUAAAUAAAUAGUUAUGCUUUGAAUAACAUGUUUUUGCUUUUCAGAAUACAAAUGGUAUUGCUGCUUUGGAAGAACCUUUCAUGCUUAGAUGUCAUAUGUUUGUGGGGUUUUUUAAAAAGCUGUCACACAUCUAACUCAAAAAGCUAACAUUUCCAGAAUGUCAGUAUUAAGUGCACACUAGCAAAUGGGGCUUCUCAAAAAACAAAAGAACAAAAACAUGUUAGCAAAAUGGAAAGGUACAGGUAAAUGCUAAUACUAAUGCAACCUCAUACACAUAGAACAGAACUACUAUGUGUACAGCUACAGGGCUUGGGAUCAGAGUCUCUUUUAUACUGUACUUGUGAAGACUCAACUUGUCUUAAGAGCAUAAGAACAGUCCUGCUGGAUGGCCCAAGGCCUAUCUAGUAGGGAUGUGCACGAACAAGUUUGGCGCUCCCUUUCUGGAGCGCCAAACCUGUUGGAACACCGGUGUUUGAGCUGGCUUAACAGGCGGCGGGUGUGUGUGCCUUUAAAAAACAAGUAAGGCGCUCCUUACCUGCUCAUCCCCUCCCUGCUGCAUUCCCCCA